GGAUACACAAAUAUGUAGGAAGAAAUUUAAACAUAAGAAAAAAUUUGGCAGAAAUUAUAAAAAUUCCUUUGCACAAUCAAUUCUAGAAAUUAAAAACUGGCCAUGCCUUUGUUAUUUCAGAAUCAAUUCUAGCAGCUUUCAAAUGCGUGUACUUAAAAAAAAGAAAGAAUUUCCAACAGACAUAUAAAAUGCCAGAAUUAAAGUUCCUUCGCCAUUUCAGCUGCCACCAUCCCCUCUCCCCAAAACCCCAGUAGACAUCAACAGAAUCCAGAAACUACAGGGUCCACUGGCAUGGCAGGGCCUGUAGGAUUCUUUUCCAAUGUGUACAGAUUGGCUGAUGCCUGGACUAUGCCAGUUCACUGUUUUAAAGAUUACUCUUGAUUGUCACAAUUAAAAACAAAGAAUAUUUAGAACCAAAUUAUAUGUGUUGCACAUUAAACAAAACGUUUUAUAAUAUGUUCUAAAAGUCAGCAAAGGUUAUUUAGCUGUGUAUGAUUCAUUUCACAAUUCCAUUUUUUAAUAUUGUAAUUCUCCCUUAUGCCUUCUAAUUUUUUUUGAAAUGACCACAGAUAUCUUCUGUAGGCCAAAUAGCAUAUUACACAUCUGUCAAAACAUACUUUAUUAUCAUAUAACUCUGUUUACAAAGUCUCUUGAACCCUUUCAGAUUGUUCUGGCUGCUUGUUUUGUGUUCAUUUCUUUCUUUAAUGUGUUUACAUUUUCCAGUCAUUUGUAUAAAUAAGGAUGUACUAGAAUAAAUAGUCUUUCCCCUUUAAGACCCAGU
rnacentral:lncRNA from 10 species